rnacentral:tRNA from 1 species
CCUCCUUAAACGCAAAGCCAACCGGCAAGCGUCCACAACGAAUUACUUGAUUAUGCAUGUUAAGAGUAUCUUAAGUCCUGACACAUCAGUGCAUUUGCAUGUGCCCAUUGCCAUUGUGGGUCUGUAGCUCAGUUGGUUAGAGCGCACCCCUGUAUAAGGGUGAGGUCGGCUGUUCAAGUCAGCCCAGACCCACCAGUUUUGUGUGGUAUCAAUCAUGGUUACCCACAAUAACCGAUCCUGUGUUAUGCUAACCACUGUUGGACGCAUACGUGGGGCUAUAGCUCAGCUGGGAGAGCACCUGCCUUGCACGCAGGAGGUCAGCGGUUCGAUCCCGCUUGGCUCCACCACUUUCUGGGUCUAUCCUGAGAGAACAAAUCACAGCGAAUGAUCGUUUGCUGCGCUUUGUUCUAUUUUA